UGUUUUGCUAAUCAUUUCUUUUUCCAUUAUUCUUCUUUUAGCCAAGUACAUGUGAUUUGACAAAGAUAUCUAAAUGCUAUAAAGUGGAAAAGAAAAUUCAAGCAUUGACUGACAUACUCAUAUGAUUUUUUUUAGGUAAAAAUUGGUCGAAAGAAAAGAGUGUGAAGCUGCUCUACAGCACCUUAGGGGGCAGAAUGCUGAUAUCACUCCAAAAGCUACUGAGAUUAGAGUAACUUUUGGACUUCAGAUGUCAAUGAGAAAAUAACUCUUUGUUUCCUCUUUAACUAGAAAAAUUACAUACUUUGACAUAGUCUUAAAUAUUUUCCAACAAUUUUGCUUAGGAACAAGUAUUGACAUGGUUUUUGUAUCAUUUUACAAGAGUACACAAAAACCCUUCAACUACUUUUUGAAGCUAGUAUUCUUGACUUAUUUCAAUGGAAAUAUGCUUACUCACUUAUUGUUAGGUUGGAGAUGGCCUGAUGGUACUACAACAAUUUGGAGGAAUCAGUGGAAUUGCAUUUUAUGCAAGUGCUAUAUUCAUAUCAGCUGGCUUUUCGGGUAGUAUUGGGACCAUAGCAAUGGUCAUUGUUCAGCAUUAGGGGUAAUUUUGAUGGAUAAAUCUGGAAGGUGGCCAUUUCUAUUGGUAAGAAGGUUAAGAAAUCUCUACUGUGUAAUGGAGUUGAAUGAAAAUAAUUUUGAAUCCCACUAUAUUCACAGGUUUCUGCAGCAGGAACUUGCUUAGGUUGCUUGCUUGUGGGAUUGUCAUUCUUCAUGUAGGUGUACACAGGAUCUUUCUUAUUAGGCAUGGGAGGAAUUCCUUGGGUUAUAAUGUCAAAGAUAUUUCCCAUAAACAUGAAGGGCUCAACUGGAAGCCUUGUUACAUUGGUUAGCUGGUUAGGUUCUUGGAUUGUAUCUAUGCUUUUAACUUUCUAAUGGAUUGGAGCUCAGCAAGUGAUGCCAAGCUAGUCUUAUCUCUCAAUAUUGAUGUUAUAUUGGAUGCAAACUGCAAUA